rnacentral:rRNA from 1 species
CCUACGGGCGGCAGCAGUGAGGAAUAUUGGUCAAUGGACGAGAGUCUGAACCAGCCAAGUAGCGUGAAGGAUGACUGCCCCAUGGGUUGUAAACUUCUUUUAUAAAGGAAUAAAACGAGGCACGUGUGCCUUUCUGCAUGUACUUUAUGAAUAAGGAUCGGCUAACUCCGUGCCAGCAGCCGCGGUAAUACGGAGGAUGCGAGCGUUAUCCGGAUUUAUUGGGUUUAAAGGGAGCGUAGAUGGGUUGUUAAGUCAGUUGUGAAAGUUUGCGGCUCAACCGUAAAAUUGCAAUUGAUACUGGCAGUCUUGAGUACAGUUGAGGUAGGCGGAAUGCGUGGUGUAGCGGUGAAAUGCUUAGAUAUUGCGAAGAACCCCGAUUGCGAAGGCAGCUUACUAAACUGUGACUGACAUUGAUGCUCGAAAGUGUGGGUAUCAAACAGGAUUAGAUACCCCUGUAGUC